UCCAAUGUGAAAAUGGUUGUGUUAAGGUU
rnacentral:piRNA from 1 species